UGUCCCGUUUUGCGGCGGCUGCUGCUGCUGCUCCUCCUUUCCUCGCCGAGGUCAAAGCGAGCCCGGACCAGAGUGGCGCCGCGCGGGGUCAGGUGCAGCGGCCGGGGGGAAGAGGUAUGGUCCUAUACAGAACGUAGAAGCACCAGUCUGGAAUUCUACUUGGACCCCAGCUCUCUGAGAGCCGCUCCCACUUCCCAUCACAUUUUGAAGCCUCUGUUUGCAAACAUAUGGACUAAAAUUUGCUUUUAAAAAUAAAGCCAAUAAUUUAUGGGUGCUGGAUUUUUAACCCAGAAUUAA